GCACUGAUCUCACAGGUGCAAAGCGGGAGCUGAGUGAUCUUCACAUGGUGUUAAAGUACAUUCUGCAACUAAAGCAGCAUUCUGGACUGGGAGCAGAGCUUUGCAUGAGUGCAUUACCAGGGGCAUUCCAGCUGAGCUCCCUCUGGGCAGGAGCAGCUCAUUAAUGGCAUGUUGGCUUCGAAGCUGCUGUGAGGAGAACCAGGAGUUGCCACUGAGCCAGGCAAGCCCCUCCAUUUCCCCACAGCUGAAUUCUUCAGAUGUCAUUUCACGUUGUGCUGCUGGUGAGGUUCUCGGAAUGUGCAUCCUCAAGGAGUCUCUGGAAUUUCCUGUCCACUUUUUGCAUCAAAGCAGCUGAGAAGAGGGUUUAUUCUAAAGUA